rnacentral:rRNA from 1 species
UAAUACGGAGGGAGCGAGCGUUGUCCGGAAUUACUAGGCGUAAAGGGCUAGUAGGUGGCUAAUUAAGUUAUAUGUUAAAUCCUACGGCUUAACCGUAGUCCAGCAUAUAAUACUGGUUAGAUAGAGUACUGUAGAGGAAGGCGGAAUUCCUGGAGUAGCGGUGGAAUGCGCAGAUAUCAGGAAGAACACCAAAAGCGAAGGCAGCCUUCUGGGCAGUAACUGACGCUGAAUAGCGAAGGUGUGGGUAGCAAACAGGCUUAGAUACCCUGGUAGUCCACACAGUAAACGAUGAUCACUAGGUGUUGGUGCCGAUAAAACGGCUUCAGUACCGCAGCUAACGCAUUAAGUGAUCCGCCUGGGGAGUACGACCGCAAGGUUG